GAGUUUGAUCGUGGCUCAGGAUGAACGCUAGCGGCAGGCUUAAUACAUGCAAGUCGAGGGGCAGCAGGUCUGUAGCAAUACAGAUGCUGGCGACCGGCAAACGGGUGCGGAACACGUACAGAACCUUCCUUUAAGUGGGGAUAGCCCAGGGAAACUUGGAUUAUACCCCGUAAUAUAAUAGAGUGGCAUCACUUUAUUAUUAUAGCUCCGGCGCUUGAAGAUGGCUGUGCGGCUGAUUAGGUAGUUGGCGGGGUAACGGCCCACCAAGCCUACGAUCAGUAACUGGUGUGAGAGCACGACCAGUCACACGGGCACUGAGACACGGGCCCGACUCCUACGGGAGGCAGCAGUAAGGAAUAUUGGGCAAUGGACGCAAGUCUGACCCAGCCAUGCCGCGUGGAGGAUGAAGGUCCUCUGGAUUGUAAACUUCUUUUA
rnacentral:rRNA from 1 species